UACGUAGGAUGCAAGCGUUGUUCGGAAUUACUGGGCGUAAAGGGCGCGUAGGCGGCCUUCUAAGUCAGACGUGAAAUCCCCCGGCUUAACCUGGGAACUGCGUCUGAUACUGGGAGGCUUGAGUAUGGGAGAGGGAUGUAGAAUUCCAGGUGUAGCGGUGAAAUGCGUAGAUAUCUGGAGGAAUACCGGUGGCGAAGGCGGCAUCCUGGACCAUAACUGACGCUGAGGCGCGAAAGCUAGGGGAGCAAACGGGG
rnacentral:rRNA from 1 species